rnacentral:tRNA from 1 species
GCCCUGAUGGUCUAGCGGUAUGAUUCUCCCUUAGGGUUGUCUUCACGGCGAUUCAUUCUGGGAGAGGUCCCAGGUUCGAUCCCUGGUUAGGGCC